rnacentral:rRNA from 1 species
GCAUAUCCAAAAAGCGGAGGAAAAGAAACUAACAAGGAUUCCCCUAGUAGCGGCGAGCGAAGCGGGAAGAGCUCAAAUUUAUAAUCUGGCACCUUCGGUGUCCGAGUUGUAAUCUCUAGAAAUGUUUUCCGCGUUGGACCGCACACAAGUCUGUUGGAAUACAGCGGCAUAGUGGUGAGACCCCCGUAUAUGGUGCGGACGCCCAGCGCUUUGUGAUACAUUUUCGAAGAGUCGAGUUGUUUGGGAAUGCAGCUCAAAUUGGGUGGUAAAUUCCAUCUAAAGCUAAAUAUUGGCGAGAGACCGAUAGCGAACAAGUACCGUGAGGGAAAGAUGAAAAGCACUUUGGAAAGAGAGUUAACAGUACGUGAAAUUGUUGGAAGGGAAACGCUUGAAGUCAGACUUGCUUGCCGAGCAAUCGGUUUGCAGGCCAGCAUCAGUUUUCCGGGAUGGAUAAUGGUAGAGAGAAGGUAGCAGUUUCGGCUGUGUUAUAGCUCUCUGCUGGAUACAUCUUGGGGGACUGAGGAACGCAGUGUGCCUUUGGCGGGGGUUUCGACCUCUUCACACUUAGGAUGCUGGCAGCAAGGCCGUU